GCCCCUCCCCCAGCCUCAUUACUGCCUUGCAGUUUGAUCUCAGACUGCUGUGCUAGCAAUCAGCGAGACUCCCUGGGCGUAGGACCCUCCGAGCCAGGUGUGGGAAAUAAUCUCCUGGUGCACCGUUUCCUAAGCCCGUCGGAAAAGCGCAGUAUUUGGGUGGGAGUGGCCCGAUUUUCCAGGUGCCCUCCUUUCCUUGACCAGGAAAGGGAACUCCCUGACCCCUUACGCUUCCCAAGUGAGGCAAUGCCUCGCCCUGCUUCGGCUGGCGCACGGUGCCCUGCACCCACUGUCUGGCACUCCCUAGUGAGAUGAACCCGGUACCUCAGAUGGAAAUGCAGAAAUCACCCAUCUUCUGCGUGGCUCAUGCUGGGAGCUGUAGACCAGAGCUGUUCCUAUUCAGCCAUCUUGGCUCCCGGAUCCAGUUUAACUUUUGCAGAGAGACAAGAUCUCUCUCCAUUGCCAACACUGGUCUCAAACUCCUGGCCUCAAGCAAUCAUCCAACCUCAGCCUUCUGAGUACCGGGAUUACAAGUGCGAGCCACUGUGCCCAGCUCCUGUUUCUACUUUCUUAAGUGAACCUGAGGAAUACCACAAAUGUGAGCAUGGCUGGAUCUUUUGAAUUAAAAUCCACACUGGGAAAGAAAUAGACCUUGAACAUCUUGCCAAAGGCAAACCACUUCAAUAGAACAUGGCUGGCGGCCAUAUGGACAUAUUUGAAUCCAACAAUUAAUUCAGCAAAGAAAGCUGCUUGUGGCAAGUUUUGAAUGUGCCAUUCCAGGUAGUGCUUUGAUGAUAAAUGAGGAGAAGAUUGCAAAGAAAAUGACAGCAACAUUUAUAAAAGGAUUCCUCUUAGGACUCUAGAUGCACGGAGAGUGGCCAGAUUAAUACAGACUGGCAAAAGAAGAACUUGGCAAAGUGAUUUGAUCACACACUUCUCACCCUCACAUCUCCUGACAGUUCCCCUAAUCCCUGCCCCACUUCCCCGCCAUGGGCUUCCAUCAGGAAACUCCUUGAUAUCAUCUUCGAGAAGAAAACUGAGGCAUAGAACAUUUGGGAAUGAAUCUAAGACUACACAUCUAGAAUAGCAGAGGAAGGCAAUGUAUCGCAUCCUGUAUUACCUUCCCCUGACCUCAUAGCUUCCCAAAACAGGAACAAUCAUGGGCUUUGAAGUUACAGGAAUGCAGAUGUGAUUCCUAUGGAUGAGGGUAACCUAGAGGCUAGAAGAACAAUAGGACAGAAGAAGCCUGGGUCCCUGAACAACCUUGUGGAGCAUAGACACCUACGUGGCCUGGACUGCCAGCUCACAAUGGGCCUCUCUGUGAGAGAAGGAAACUUCCCUCUUGUUUAAGCAACUGUGCUUUUGAGAAUCUCUUGGUCUAUACCCUAAUGAAUAAGGCCAUCAUAAAUGGAUAUCAAAGUAAGGAAAUUUGUGUAAAUGAUUUAAUAAAACAUUACCUCAGGUAUGAAAUAAUUCUACCUUGUGCCUUGACAACAUCAGGUAUUAUUCAUGCCCUUUUCUCUCCCUGUAAUGUCUCUUAUCCACGGGUAGAAAUUAUAUUUUCCAUCUAAGGUUUGCUCAAAUAUUAUCUACUUAAGUAGCUCUUACCAAUUUUGCCUCUCCUCCUGAGCUGACCCUAUGCCUUCUAUGCUGUUCCAGGUAAUAUUAAUCUCUUCCUUUGUACUUCUUUCACAGAACAUACUUUUUUGUCUAACAUAAUAACUAUAGGCAUAAGUGUAUAGAUUCCACUAGGGGCUUCAGAACAGAAACUAUCAUCUUAUUAAUUUUUUUCUCCCUGAUAUCUAGGGAAAUAUGUUAUAUAUAAUAGGCCCUUAGUAAUCCCAUAAAUGUUUGUGAGAUAUUCACUGACUAUAAGCCAUACUCUGUAUUUAUUUAGCUAAAACAGACGUCUUUCAUAUUUAGUUAGCAGAAAAUGCUCACAUUUACUCCUUUCCUGUUUACCAAAUGAAAGGGUAAUUGUUUUUUCACAGAUUGCACUAGAAAAGUGUCUUCUCUCUCUUUUUCAAAUAGAUUGUCUUUAAAACAUAUGACAGGAAAAGUGACUAUUGUUAGGAUAAGAUAAUUACGAUUGUAACAGCUAGUUUAAAAGAAGUGUCAGUUGCUCCUGUUUUAUUUUUCACAGGAUAGAGCUGCGGCCUGUCUCAGUAUGAUGUUUUCAGGAUCUGGUAUAUAUUUUUAUUUUCCUACAUGAAUCUUUCAUCCUUUUACUGACAUUUAUUCAUUUUAUCUAAUUAUCCUAAAAGGAAAGCUCUGGCCAGGCAAAUUGGUUGUUGUCUGCCUCUGAAGAGACAUUCAUAUCGCGUCGCUUAGCUUUCAAGUUUUGUGAUCAGGAACCCUCAGGCCCAUUUUUAAGGAGGUUUCAGGCUAGCUGAGCUUCACUGUCUCCCAAAAUGUACAAAAUGAGAUUACAUGAGGGACAAGAUCAAUUUACUGGAAGGUACUUAAGCAGUAAAUCUGGAGCUUUUUGUCCAGUCACUAUUGCUUUCAAGCUUUGUAGCAGAAAAUUAAGCCACAAGAGCUUUGACAAAUUAGAUAUUACUACCUCUAAUUGUGUAUGUUUAAGCUUAUCACACUGAAUUGCAGCAUUGUAACUGACUAUUAUGCCAACAAGGCCUUCGUUUAAUCAGCGCAGUGCCAUUUAAUCGCAAUUAAUCACUCAACUAAAAUGUCAUAUUAAGGUCACAGAAACUUGAAGGGCUAAAAGAAAAGAGAACAUUAAAGUCAGCUGAUGGAGGAAAAGAGCAUGGUGUGCCAAGGGAAGUUCUGAGCACUCUUUUUCAUUAGAAGCUGGUAGAACAUUUAAUGAGAAUUCAGUCUUAACUUUCAGCUGAGAUCAGAACAACGUGCC
rnacentral:lncRNA from 1 species